rnacentral:rRNA from 1 species
AGCGAACGCUGGCGGCAGGCCUAACACAUGCAAGUCGAACGAACCCUUCGGGGUUAGUGGCGGACGGGUGAGUAACACGUGGGAACGUGCCUUUAGGUUCGGAAUAACUCAGGGAAACUUGUGCUAAUACCGAAUGUGCCCUUCGGGGGAAAGAUUUAUCGCCUUUAGAGCGGCCCGCGUCUGAUUAGCUAGUUGGUGAGGUAAUGGCUCACCAAGGCUACGCUCAGUAGCUGGUCUGAGAGGAUGACCAGCCACAUUGGGACUGAGACACGGCCCAAACUCCUACGGGAGGCAGCAGUGGGGAAUCUUGCGCAAUGGGCGAAAGCCUGACGCAGCCAUGCCGCGCGGAUGAUGAAGGUCUUAGGAUUGUAAAAUCCUUUCACCGGUGAAGAUAAUGACUGUAGCCGGAGAAGAAGCCCCGGCUAACUUCGUGCCAGCCGCCGCGUAAAAC